AGCUUGCUAAUAAUUCUCUAGUGGCGCACGGGUGAGUAACACGUGAGUAACCUGCCCCCAAGAGUGGGAUAGCCCCGGGAAACUGGGAUUAAUACCGCAUAAAAUCGCAAGAUUAAAGCAGCAAUGCGCUUGGGGAUGGGCUCGCGUCCUAUUAGUUAGUUGGUGAGGUAACGGCUCACCAAGGCGAUGACGGGUAGCCGGUCUGAGAGGAUGUCCGGCCACACUGGAACUGAGACACGGUCCAGACACCUACGGGUGGCAGCAGUCGAGAAUCAUUCACAAUGGGGGAAACCCUGAUGGUGCGACGCCGCGUGGGGGGAUGAAGGUCUUCGGAUUGUAAACCCCUGUCAUGUGGGAGCAAAUUAAAAAGAUAGUACCACAAGAGGAAGAGACGGCUAACUCUGUGCCAGCAGCCGCGGUAAUACAGAGGUCUCAAGCGUUGUUCGGAAUCACUGGGCGUAAAGCGUGCGUAGGCGGUUUCGUAAGUCGUGUGUGAAAGGCGGGGGCUCAACCCCCGGACUGCACAUGAUACUGCGAGACUAGAGUAAUGGAGGGGGAACCGGAAUUCUCGGUGUAGCAGUGAAAUGCGUAGAUAUCGAGAGGAACACUCGUGGCGAAGGCGGGUUCCUGGACAUUAACUGACGCUGAGGCACGAAGGCCAGGGGAGCGAAAGGGAUUAGAUACCCCUGUAGUCCUGGCAGUAAACGGUGCACGCUUGGUGUG
rnacentral:rRNA from 1 species